UGGGGAAUAUUGCACAAUGGGGGAAACCCUGAUGCAGCAACGCCGCGUGCGGGAUGACGGCCUUCGGGUUGUAAACCGCUUUCAGCCAUGACGAAGCUUUUGUGACGGUAGUGGCAGAAGAAGCACCGGCUAACUACGUGCCAGCAGCCGCGGUGAUACGUAGGGUGCGAGCGUUGUCCGGAAUUAUUGGGCGUAAAGAGCUUGUAGGCGGUUUGUCGCGUCGAAAGUGUAAACUCAGUGCUUAACGCUGAGCCUGCUUUCGAUACGGGCUGACUAGAGGAAGGUAGGGGAGAAUGGAAUUCCCGGUGGAGCGGUGGAAUGCGCGGAUAUCGGGAGGAACACCAGUGGCGAAGGCGGUUCUCUGGACCUUUCCUGACGCUGAGAAGCGAAAGCGUGGGUAGCAAACAGG
rnacentral:rRNA from 1 species